rnacentral:lncRNA from 1 species
CAUGUAAGGAAAAAUUGGCACAGAUAAAUUCAUUAAUUUGCCCCAGAUAAUACAUGUAAGUAACAGACCUUCAAAUGGAAUCAAAGCUACCAAAUGCCAGAGUCUGUGCUCUUAAUAUCUUUAGUCAAUGCUUUCUCUACUCUGAUACAACUGUCAAGCACUGUAUUAUACUGCUUCGUGUUGUGUCAUAACAAAUCAGAUUGUAACUUCAGAAAUCCUGGAUGUCUCUGAGACACAGAAAAACAACUGUGACUGUAACAUAUGGGGAACUACUGCCAGAGUCACAGACAACUGAAAGUAAAUUGAGGAAGAACAUGAAAACAGAUGCUCACACAUUACAUGAUGUUCAUAAAAUUGCUAACUGCAUUGGCUACUAAUGAAAAUUAUCCCGCCAUGGAAGCCCUAGCUAAAAGUUUAUUAGUAUCCAUUGAGUAGUAUACAUACAACACUUAUCGAUUUACAUCGAUAAGGCAAAAAAGUGAUGCAAUAUUUCAUUUUCCCCUCUACCUAAUACUGUCUUAAAUUUUAUGCACGUGACCUGUAUUGUUUCCAUUACAUACAAGUUGCUUAGUACUAAAUUAACAAGGAGGGAAGUAAAGAAUGUACUGAAAAUAAGGGAUUGUAAAUCAUUUAUGUAGAAUUAUGAAAGAUAAUGAUAAAGUAACUGGAUUCAUGUAUGUGCUCACAUGCAGAAUGCUGCCCCCUGUACAAAUGCAUGACUACUUGCCAAUGCUAACUGCAUCAGGCCUAAGUACACACUGAAUUAUCACUUGAAUUCAGAUACGAAGGAUAAAUAAUUCAGUACUAAAAAAAGUUGUAUCUCUGCCUUUCUUCAAUUUUCAAAGUCAACAAAUUAAAGUUUUAAAAUAUUUAAUGUUGUUUUUCUGCUGCAUAAUGGAUUCAUUGUUGUAUUUGUCUUGCUUAGAUGUUCAGAGCUAAUGAGCCUAUAAUCAUGGAUUUGAGCCCUUUGGGGGGGCCAAUUAACUUUAAUAUAUCUUUCAACUUCAAACUCUACCUGAAUCCUACAUAAGAAUUCACAAUGUAUGCUUUACUUACUAAGAUGAACAAGAAAUAAAGAGUGCAUUAAAACAAAUAAAUAUGUAAUACCUCGUAGAAGAGUUAUCUCUCAAAUCUUUCAAGCUUACCUGAGGGUAGUCAGAAGCACUACCAUUACAUUGUAAAACAGAUUAUAGAAUUUAGGAGUGAGAAGGCCAGAGAGCCUUUAUUGCAGUGGUUUGCUAUUGAAAUGUGCAAACAAUAUGAUAUUUGAGUCAGUACUACAGACUGUUUAAACAGGUACCACAUCUAAAGCCAAGCAUAGUAGUAUGUACCUUUGGUCCCAGCUACUCUGGAGACUGAGUUAGGGAAUCUCUUGAGCCCAGGAGUUCCAGAGCAGCCUGAGCAAUGUAGCAAGAACCCAUCUCUUAAAAAACAAAGAAAAAACAGUCCAUGAAACAUAAAGUUUGAAAUAAAGAUUAAAAGAUAUGCAUCAGGAAAAUGUAAUCCUUUCCCAUCCCACAUGCAAAAAAAAAAAAAAAAAAAAAAAAAAAA